CGAAUCCUGCAGCGCCCCAGUGGCGGGGCCGCUCUGGAGCCCUGGAUUCAGCCCCCGCAGUCACCACGGAGCUCUCCGUCUGCAGGGCCUGGAGGCUCCGGGGCGGG
rfam:Canis lupus familiaris chromosome 14, whole genome shotgun sequence.